rnacentral:lncRNA from 1 species
UUUAAGUGGAAUCCUACAGUGUUUAUCCGUUUGUGACCAGUGUAGAUCAUUUCGUGUAAUGUCCUUCAGUUUCAGCCGUGCCGUAGCUUGUGGCAGGGUUUCCUUCCUUUUUAAGGCCAUGUGACAUUCCAGUCCCACCUUGCUAAAGCAGUUUACCUGGUCACUGGGGUGACUCUGGAGCUCCCCUCUGGCCUCACUGCCUGUGCUUGGUCAUGUUGGCUAGCUGUCCUCCCUUCUCCACCUCUGAGUCUACAAGGGCUGCACUCCACGGAGGUCCCAUGCGUCAGCCCCGACCGCAGCGCUUGGCUCUGCUGCUGUGUCCCGUCCCCGUGAAGGCUCAGCAGGCACUCACUGGGCCUUCUCCCCUGCUCACUGCUCCGCACUCUGCACCCCACCCGCACUGUGCGUCUUCACCCUGCCUGGCCUGGGCCACUGUCCCUUCCUGCUCAGAUCAGUCAGCAGGGUGCCUCAGCUUGUUCCCCACCUCCACCCUGGCCCCCUGCCAUCUUUUCUGCACAUGGGCAUGAGUGAACCUAUUCAAGUGAAAUUCACAUUUUCUCAUGUCUCAUCAGAACCCCCAAAGCCUCCCCAGUCUCUGAUAACACAUCCAGGGUCUUUCGGUGGCCUGGAGGAGCUAUAAGAUCUGCUUCCUACAGCCUCCACCCUGUCUGCUGCUGCUCUUUGGACACCGGACCUUACACACCCCUCAGACAGUACAGCACCCACCCUGCCCUUCAACUCUUGCUUGGCCCCGUAAGCCAGUCCUUCCAGGCUCCUGCCUCCUCUGGUCAUUCCCUGCGUGGGCCUCUCGCAGGAAGCAGUUUUCCUGUGUCCCCCGCCGACCCCCUGCAGGAGGUAAGCUGCAUGAGGGCAGUAUCAUGUUGCCUAGCACCUUGGCCCACAUGGAGCAGGUGCCAAGCAGAUAUGUAUUGGGUGGAGGACCCUCUCCCUGUGGCCUUUUAUCUAUUUGUUCUCACAGGGUUUGCCAGGUUUGGCUGCAGUUCAUGUCACUUGAGGACAUUCCUUUCCAGCGCCGUUGGCUUUGUGGCUGUGGCUCUGUCACAGCUCCAGCUGUGCUAUCAUUGGUCCACAUUGUCCCCUCCCCUAUUUGCUGUGACUCCCAUGGGAAGAUCCUAUCUCUGUUCCUCUCGCACUGGGGCAAAGCAGUGCUGGCAGGGGGCUGGGGAACUGGCGGGUGGCCUCUCCUGGGCAGGAAGUCCAUGGCACCCAGGUGCUCCCUGUGCUCCAGAGGGGCUGGGGAGGUUUCAUGGAGUCAAUAGGCAUUGGCAAGCUGACAUGUCCCCUGUCCCACGCAGGCCUGUUGCAGUCUCCAAGGCACCAUGAAUGCCAUCGUGGCUCUCUGCCACUUCUGCGAGCUCCACGGCCCCCGCACUCUCUUCUGCACGGAGGUGCUGCACGCCCCACUUCCUCAAGGGGAUGGGAAUGAGGACAGUCCUGGCCAGGGUGAGCAGGCGGAAGAAGAGGAAGGUGGCAUUCAGAUGAACAGUCGGAUGCGUGCGCACAGCCCCGCAGAGGGGGCCAGCGUCGAGUCCAGCAGCCCGGGGCCCAAAAAGUCGGACAUGUGCGAGGGCUGCCGGUCACUUGCUGCAGGGCACCCGGGAUAUAUCAGCCAUGAUAAAGAGACCUCCAUUAAAUACGUCAGCCACCAGCACCCCAGCCACCCCCAGCUCUUCAGCAUUGUCCGCCAGGCCUGUGUCCGGAGCCUGAGCUGUGAGGUGAGCCUUGUGGCCACAGAGCCUGUCUCUGUGGGAGCCCACAUGCUCCCAGGUGCUCUGGGUGGGCUCGGAGCCAGCAUUGCACAGGGAGGCAGGCACUGGUCCUCUCUCAGGGCGGACCCGCAGAUCAGCACAGCACAGGGUACAGGACGCCUCCCUUGUCCAGAAUUGCGGGAGGAGUCAUGUUGGACUUGCUGAGCAUUUUCUGAUUGAGUGCUAGCUUUUGCACUUUAAGCACCGAACUUUUAUUAUUUGUCCUUUCUUUAUUAUUAUUGUUUUCUUUUUUCCUUCUUUUGUGUCAGGGUCUCGCUCUGUCGUCCAGACUGGAGUGCAGUGGUGCCGUCAUGGUUCACUGCAACCUCAAACUCCUGGGCUCAAGCGAUCCUCCCGCCUUAGCCUCCCAGGUGGCUGGGACCACUGGUGUGUGCCACCAUGCUCAACUGGGGUUUGUUUUUUGUUGUUGUUAAGACAGAGUCUCACUCGGUUGCCCAGGCUGGAGUGCAGUGGUGCAAUCUCGGCUUACUGCAACCUCCACCCUGGGUUUAAGUGAUUCUUCUGUCUCAGCUAUCCUGAGUAGCUGGGACAACAGGCGUGUGCCACCAUGCCCGGCUAAUUUUUUGUAUUUUUAGUAGAGAAGAGAUUUCACCAUGUUGGCCGAGCUGGUCUUGAACUCCUGACCUUGUGAUUUGCCCGCCUCGGCCUCCCGAAGUGCUGGGAUUACAGGUGGGAGCCACUGUGCCCCACCUUUUUAAAAUUUUUUUGUAGAGAUGAGGUCUCAGUAUGUUGCCCAGGUUGGUCUCGAACUCAAGCAAUCCUCUGGCUCAUCCUCCCAAAGCACUAGGAUUACAGGUGUGAGCCGCCAUGCCCAGCCAUGUGUGUCUAUUCUUGAUGGAUGUAUUCCUAAGAUAGGAAGCAUUUCUAGGUUAGGUGGUUCAUUGCAUCAACAUCACCUUUUUUUAUUAUCUCAGUCCUCAUUCCAAGUCUCAGUGAUGAUCCCGUGCUGCUCUCAGCCUGCUGAGGUGUGGAUGAUUUCUUCCUAAACUACGUCGCUGCUGCUGUUGCUCUUGACUCUGAGCUCAGGUCUUUGUUACAAAGAAUUCGUCGUUCAGUUACUAAACUUCCUUGUCAUUGGUGUCCACCCAGUUCGACACACCAAGCUCCCUUACUGUUCUCAUUCAGUGUGGCUGUGUGCCUGCCCUCAACUGUCCUCUCCUUUUAAUUUCCUACCGCUGGUCUGCUAGCAGGCAGCUCGGCAUGUCUGUUAGAAUUGUGUGUUAAGGAAGAGUAAGUAUGUAAUGAGGAGGGACUGAAAUCCUCUUAUAAGAAUAAAGUACGUGGGGCUGGGCAUGGUGGCCCACUCCUGUAAUCCCAGCCCUUUGGGAGGCCAAGGCCGGCAGAUCACCUGAGGUCAGGAGUUCGAGACCAGCCUGGCCAACAUGGUGAAACCCCCUCUCUAAAAAAAAUACAAAAAAAUUAGCCAGGCGUGGUGGCACACUCUUACAAUCCCAGCUACUCAGGAGGCUGAGGCAGGAGAAUUGCUUGAACCCAGGAGACGGAGGUUGCAGUGGGCCAGGAUCACACCACUGCAUUCCAGCCUGGGUGACAAGAGCGAGACUCCAUCUC